GGGAGAGAGGGAGGGAGGGAGGGAGAGAGAGAGAGAGAGAGAGAGGAGAGAGAGAGAGAGAGAGAGAGAGAGAGAGAGAGAGAGAGAGAGAGAGAGAGAGAGAGAAGAGUUGUGUUACUAGCAGAUGGACCUGCACCACAGACUUGAAGGUAUAAGGUAUGGCAAACUCUGGUACAGCCUAAUCUCAUAGCCUAGGCCCCACCAAACAGAGGAGAUGUAGGGACAUGAAAGGCAGUGGGAUUCCACUUCCUCCUUUUAUCCUGUGAAAGGGUAUAAUCUACACCAACCUUUCCCUAUCCUGUCUCCAUCUCUUUAGAUUCUUGAGGUCAUCGGGGAAACAAAAGAGUUGUCAUACUCAUGUCAUUGGUGUGCUUUGGUCCAGAAGCCUAGUGACCUCCGCCGGCCAUGUGUUCUCAACAUGUAUCUACCCAAGAAUGCACCUGUCAGUCUUAGCAGGGAGAACAAACGCUUGAGUUUGACAAGAGAAGGACAGCUAAGGAGCAGCCCUGGCCCAUCUGCCAAGCGGCAUUCCUGAGCGAGCAGAGAGGCAGCCUGGAAGACAUGCACACAAACUACUUGAAAGAAGUCUUUCAUCCAGGAUUCUCUGAUAUUCCCCAGAAAAAUG
rnacentral:lncRNA from 1 species